GGGCGGGUAGCUCAGCUGGAUAGAGCGUUGGCCUCCGGAGCCAAAGGUCGUGGGUUCGAAUCCCGUCUCGCUCGCCA
rnacentral:tRNA from 1 species